UCGAGUCUUUGAACGCAAGUUGCGCCCGAAGCCAUUAGGCCGAGGGCACGUCUGCCUGGGCGUCACGC
rnacentral:rRNA from 1 species